GACGAACGCUGGCGGCGUGCUUAACACAUGCAAGUCGAGCGAUGAAGCCGGAGCUUGCUCUGGUGAAUUAGUGGCGAACGGGUGAGUAACGCGUGGGAACGUGCCCUUCAGUUCGGGAUAACCCAGGGAAACUUGGGCUAAUACCGGAUACGUGCGAGAGCAGAAAGAUUUAUCGCUGAAGGAUCGGCCCGCGUCUGAUUAGCUAGUUGGUGGGGUAAUGGCCCACCAAGGCGACGAUCAGUAGCUGGUCUGAGAGGAUGAUCAGCCACAUUGGGACUGAGACACGGCCCAGACUCCUACGGGAGGCAGCAGUGGGGAAUAUUGCACAAUGGGCGCAAGCCUGAUGCAGCAACGCCGCGUGAGGGAUGACGGCCUUCGGGUUGUAAACCUCUUUUAGCAGGGAAGAAGCGAAAGUGACGGUACCUGCAGAAAAAGCACCGGCUAACUACGUGCCAGCAGCCGCCGUAA
rnacentral:rRNA from 1 species